rnacentral:tRNA from 1 species
GGAGAGAUGGCUGAGUGGUCUAAAGCGCCUUCCUGCUAAGAAGGUAAGUUCUCAAAAGGGGCUUCGAGGGUUCAAAUCCCUCUCUCUCCGCCA